rnacentral:tRNA from 1 species
UAUAUUUUAGUGUAAGAUGCACAAGAAAUUUUGAUUUUCUUAGGGAUAGUUUAAUUCUAUCAAAUAUAA